rnacentral:rRNA from 2 species
UCCGGCUGGCGGCGCGCCUAUACAUGCAGUCGAGCGGAUCUUUGGGAGCUUGCUCCCAAAGAUUAGCGGCGGACGGGUGAGUAACACGUGGGCAACCUGCCUGUAAGACUGGGAUAACUCCGGGAAACCGGGGCUAAUACCGGAUAAUUCAUUCUCUCUCAUGAGGGAAUGCUGAAAGACGGUUUCGGCUGUCACUUACAGAUGGGCCCGCGGCGCAUUAGCUAGUUGGUGAGGUAACGGCUCACCAAGGCCACGAUGCGUAGCCGACCUGAGAGGGUGAUCGGCCACACUGGGACUGAGACACGGCCCAGACUCCUACGGGAGGCAGCAGUAGGGAAUCUUCCGCAAUGGACGAAAGUCUGACGGAGCAACGCCGCGUGAGCGAUGAAGGCCUUCGGGUCGUAAAGCUCUGUUGUUAGGGAAGAACAAGUACCGGAGUAACUGCCGGUACCUUGACGGUACCUAACCAGAAAGCCACGGCUAACUACGUGCCAGCAGCCGCGGUAAUACGUAGGUGGCAAGCGUUGUCCGGAAUUAUUGGGCGUAAAGCGCGCGCAGGUGGUUCCUUAAGUCUGAUGUGAAAGCCCACGGCUCAACCGUGGAGGGUCAUUGGAAACUGGGGAACUUGAGUGCAGAAGAGGAAAGUGGAAUUCCACGUGUAGCGGUGAAAUGCGUAGAGAUGUGGAGGAACACCAGUGGCGAAGGCGACUUUCUGGUCUGUAACUGACACUGAGGCGCGAAAGCGUGGGGAGCGAACAGGAUUAGAUACCCUGGUAGUCCACGCCGUAAACGAUGAGUGCUAAGUGUUAGAGGGUUUCCGCCCUUUAGUGCUGCAGCAAACGCAUUAAGCACUCCGCCUGGGGAGUACGGCCGCAAGGCUGAAACUCAAAGGAAUUGACGGGGGCCCGCACAAGCGGUGGAGCAUGUGGUUUAAUUCGAAGCAACGCGAAGAACCUUACCAGGUCUUGACAUCCUUUUGACACCUCUUGGAGGACAGAACUGUUCCCUUCGGGGGACAUAAGUGACAGGUGGUGCAUGCUGUCGUCAGCUCGUGUCGUGAGUGUUGGGUUAGUCCCGCAACGAGCGCAACCCUUGGUCCUUAGUUGCCAGCAU